UAUUAAUUUGGCUUUGGUUAUUAUAUAAAUUAUUACUAGGUAUAUACAUGUUAGGUUUAAUGAAAAUCGAUUUGUCUAAGAGCUUAUAUUAAAAAGGUUAAAAAUAUUUUUAAUAGAGGUAUUAUUGUUAGUAUUUGACUAAGAUAAUAAUAUAAGGCUACGCAGUAUUUAUAUUUAUACAAUGAAUGAGAGUUUGAUAUAGUUAUUGUAUUAAAAAGCGGUUAAAUUGGUGCCAGCAGCUGCGGUUAUACCAAUGGCUUUAAAUUUAUAUUAAGAUAGUAUAAAAUAAAGUAUUAAUUAUAAUAUUAGUUAGAAUUAAUGAGAGAAGUAAUUGUGGGUAAAAUUUAAAUUAUUUCUAUUAAUUAUAUUAUUCUAAAAAAAUUCUUUGAAAAUAAGAAUUCAAAACUAGGAUUAGAGACCCUACUAUUCUUUAUUUUAAAAAUUUUUUUACUUAGGUAGUACGGACAGGGUAAUUAUAUAAUUUCUUAUGGUUGUUUAAAACUUAAAAGGCUUGGCGGUGUUAUAUAUCCUCCCAGGGGAGCUUGCUUGUUAAUUUGAUAAUCCUCAAUUUAUACUUACUUUUUCUUGAAUUAUAACAGUUUGUGUAUUGCUGUCGUCAGUUUAUUUUGUAAAAAUUUUGUAAAAAACUUAAUAACAUGUGAGUUAUAAUGUCAAGUCAAAAUGCAGCUAAUGAAAAAGGCUAUAGUGAGCUACAAUUUGUAAUGUUUAUAUCAAAUUAAGUUGUGUAAUCAAUUUAUGAAGGUGGACUUGGUAGUAAUAAAGACUAAAUAAAUAGUGAGUCUUAGUGAAUUAGGUUUUAUAACGUGUACAUAUCGCCCGUCGCUCUUGUUGGGAAAUAAGAUAAGUCGUAACACAGUAGGAGUAGUGGAAGCUGUUCCUGGUAUGAU
rnacentral:ncRNA from 1 species